CAGCCGCCGCGGUAAAACCAGCACCUCAAGUGGUCAGGAUGAUUAUUGGGCCUAAAGCAUCCGUAGCCGGCUCUGUAAGUUUUCGGUUAAAUCUGUACGCUCAACGUACAGGCUGCCGGGAAUACUGCAGAGCUAGGGAGUGGGAGAGGUAGACGGUACUCGAUAGGAAGGGGUAAAAUCCUUUGAUCUAUUGAUGACCACCUGUGGCGAAGGCGGUCUACCAGAACACGUCCGACGGUGAGGGAUGAAAGCUGGGGGAGCAAACCGGAUUAGAUACUCGGGUAGUCCCAGCUGUAAACUAUGCAAACUCAGUGAUGCAUUGGCUUGUGGCCAAUGCAGUGCUGCAGGGAAGCCGUUAAGUUUGCCGCCUGGGAAGUACGUACGCAAGUAUGAAACUUAAAGGAAUUGGCGGGGGAGCAC
rnacentral:rRNA from 2 species